AAACAGAAGAAUUCAGUCUAGGAGAAAAUCUUGAGAUAUAAUCAUCAUGCGCUUCGCAAUUCUUUUCGUUCUUAUUAUUUGCACUUUGGGACGGAAGUGUACCCCAAAUUCAGUUGGAGAAAUAAUAAUCUAAUACCACGUUUUCCUUUUGCCCUUUUAGCAAUGACAACGAAGGUGACACACGGGUGUCACCCAAAUACACCAGGGUGCCACACUACUCCCAAACCCAAAUAAAAACAAGAGAGAACGCUAUA